AAUUGCAUCACGUAGCUUAAACAUGUUACUUCAUUUCCUUUAUGUAGAGUAGUUAUGUAGUGACAUUCAGACGCGAGUAGUCGUCGAACGUCGUCUUAAAAUAGUUCCCCAACUAGCCGCUAGAUGACAGGAGUCGUCUUUGCUUAGAGCGACGCGCCCCUGACGAAGAAGAUACAGGUACGACGAUGAUUCCGGAUAGUGUCGCUUUUUGUGCUUGCAAAGGUAUCCGUCGCUGUCUUCUGUGUGAGAAGCUUAAAGAAAGUCAAUUACCAGAAGAAAAGGUUGUUCAUCUUUUCCUGUACAACCCAGAGUCAAUGCUCGCCGUUUGCAAAGGUGGUGAGCCAGCAUCCUUCCUCUUUCCCGGUGUGUUCCUGUGGGAGGACUUCCUAUCGGAAGAGGAGGAAAAGGAGCUGAUUAGCAGCAUGGACAAGGACGUCUGGAAUCUGUCUCAAUCGGGCCGAAAAAAGCAGGACUUUGGCCCAAAAGUGAACUUCAAGAAGAAGAAAGUGCGCUUCGCCAAUUUCAGUGGGCUUCCUCCAUUGAGUAAAAAACUAGUGCUGCGAAUGCAACAGGAAGAAAGUCUGACGGGCUUUCAGCCCGUGGAGCAAUGCAAUCUGGACUACCAGCCUCAGCGGGGCUCCGCCAUCGACCCCCACCUGGACGACUCCUGGCUGUGGGGGGAGCGUCUGGUCACCGUCAAUAUGCUGUCGGACACAGUGCUGACCAUGUCGCUGGAGCGGGGACUCCCGCACCUCGGACUGCCAGGGGAAGUGAAUGUAGCUGUGGCUCUACCGCGCAGAUCUUUGGUCAUGUUGUACGGAGAGGCGCGGCAUCGCUGGAAACACGGCAUUCUCCGGAAGGACGUUCGAGAACGCAGAGUCUGCAGCACCUACAGGGAACUGUCGGCCGAGUUCCUCCCCGGUGGGCAGUAUGGUGAGCUGGGAGCUAAGCUACUCAAUGUUGCUGCUAGCUUCAAUGGAACUCCUAUAUAGACCCCGCCCCCCCGAUAUUCACAUGACAAGCCUAUGGAGGCAAGUCAACACAGCUCCUCUACACAAAUCACAACAUUCAAAUUUGGAAAUGAUACAAACUGUGUGCAUUUGCAAUAAUUGGAUCCCAUGUUUGCG